AUAUCCCUGCAGUGCGCGUUGGAAGUCCGGUGAUUGUUGAACCAACACCAACAUAAUGGGGCCUAACUUCUUUUGUGCUGAGGUACGAGAGAGAGGGCACCCACCUGUGAAAAUCCGGUUCAGGCUAUCAUAUUCCAACGGCACAGGCGGGGAUUUU
rnacentral:other from 1 species